rnacentral:rRNA from 1 species
GACGAACGCUGGCGGCGUGCUUAACACAUGCAAGUCGAGCGGUAAGGCUCCUUCGGGAGUCCACGAGCGGCGAACGGGUGAGUAACACGUGAGUAAUCUGCCCUUCACUUCGGGAUAACCACCGGAAACGGUGGCUAAUACCGAAUACGACCAGUCUUCGCAUGAGGUGCUGGUGGAAAGUCUUUUCGGUGAAGGAUGUGCUCGCGGCCUAUCAGCUUGUUGGUGGGGUAAUGGCCUACCAAGGCUUCGACGGGUAGCCGGCCUGAGAGGGUGACCGGCCACACGGGGACUGAGACACGGCCCAGACUCCGACGGGAGGCAGCAGUGGGGAGUAUUGGACAAUGGGCGAAAGCCUGAUCCAGCAACGCCGCGUGAGGGAUGACGGCCUUCGGGUUGUAAACCUCUUUCAGUACCGACGAAGCGCCCUGUCGGGUGGUGACGGUAGGUACAGAAGAAGGACCGGCCAACUACGUG